rnacentral:lncRNA from 1 species
GUGACUGAGAAAACAGAUGCGUACGUGGACAACCUUAAGGUGGGGCUGGAGCUGUGGGAGAAGCAGCUGAUGCUGGGCGGAGAGGUGGACAGCUGGGCAGGAGCCAAACUCGCCCUGUUUGCAGAGAGCCACCCCUUCAGCAACGAGCAGCAAGUGCUCGCUAUGAGGGUAAAGUUCCUAAAGACGUUAAACUCUGUCCUCAUUUUCAGGAGGCCUUUACAGCAACUAAUUUCAUGAUUGGCUCUGCAGGAUGACAUCAAUGCUCAGGAGGAGAACAUUGAGCAUUUCCAUAAGAAGUCUCUUGAGAUCCAGGAAAUGCUGCAGAGUCAAGAGGCUCCACUGGAGCUGCAGGUGAUGGAAACUCAGCUGAGGAAGAGGAUGGAGCAGGUGAAGGAGCUGUUUACCGACUGCACAGACGUCUUUCAAGAGCUGAUAGCGGUGAAGAAGCACCUAGCAGAGAAGACAGAGGAGUGUCAGUCAGCUGUAGAGAACAUCCAAUGUUCUCUCAGUAAGGUUGAUGCCUCAGGACCAAACGUCGAGGCCCAGAUCCAGGAUUUGUGUGAUGAUCUUGAGAGCCAGGAGGAACACGCUGAGUCUGUGUUGAAGGAGGUGGGUUUGGUGUCCAGCAUGGCCAGUCCUCAAGUGAUGGAGGCUCUCGCUCUGGACUGCAGCAGGCUGAGAGAGGCCAUCUCCCGCACCAAAGACAUGAUCCACCUGAAGAGAGAGGAGAGGGACCAGGGCCUUCUCAAAGUGGUCAAAGGUUUGUGUUUGUUUCAGAGCAGUAUUAUCCCUAAAACACUUGAAUUUGUUUAAAUUAGCGAUUUCCCUUUGGAGAAUUCUUUAUUUUAUUCAUUUGAUGUGUUCUUUCCAAUUUGUCCUCAGAUGAAAUUCAGUCAUUCGAGGGAUGGUUCCAGGACUUGCAGAUGUCUGUCAAUGAGUGUUUUGAGAAUCCAGAGAACAGAACCGAUGUGGAAUCAUCUCAGCAAAGACUCACUGCUUUCUUAAAGUCCAGAGAUGAGGAGAGACGACUAGAGCAGCUGAAGGCUCAGGUGGAGAGAGGCAGCCAGCAGAUCCCUCCUCAGCAGCUCUCUGACUUCACCGACUGGCUGAAGGAGCAGCAGAAGGAGGUGGGGACGUUCAGAACCCACUGCCACAACAGGCUGAAACAAAUGGAUUCUCUCCUCUCUGACUUAAACUGUCUAGAAAAGCAGUAUGACAGCUUUCGUGAGUGGCUGCAGCGCAAAGAGAAAGAAUCUGUAGUGUCCGACAAAGUCAAACUUCUCCUCAAAGACCUUCAGGAUGAGAGUGGCAGAGCUGACAGCCUCAGUGAGCUGUUGGCAUCAAUACGCAGACAAGGUGUCAGAGCUGAAAACGUCCUGAAAGACAGCGAUAAUCUGAUACAGCGCUACCGAAACCUGGAGGCCAGGCUGCAGAAACAGGCUGAGGCCCAGAGCGCCCUGGAGGAGCAGUACGACAGGUUUAACACCCAGGCCGGGAGCACCAGGGCCUGGAUCAGAGACCUUCAGCAAGCCCUCACCUCCCAGAGCGACAUCCAGGCUGAGGAGCUGAAGUGCAAAGCACAGAGUAUUCUGAGCUGCAGAUCUGAGGGGGACUCAAAGAUGAACGACCUGGUAAGACAAAGCCUGACUCUGUGUGAACACGAGGACCUGGGAGAGAGCAGGAAACAAGAAAUCCAGGAGUCUGUCAGAGGAAUGGAGGAGCAGUGGAGGACAGCCCUGCAGACAGCUGAGGAGACUCUAAACAAUUUGGAAACACGUGCUCUGAUAGACAAGGACCUGCUUUCUUUCCAAACCGAUAGUGAGAAGACCAAGGCCUGGAUCAGAGACCUGGAAGACUUCAUGCAGUCCGUUGGUCGUCACAUGCAAGUAGAUGAAAAGCUACAGAUUGCGCAAGCUGCACUGAACUCCAAACCUGAGGGGGAUUCUAAGCUCCAUCAUCUGAGACAACAGUGUCACAGUCUGUGUGACAACCAGCACUUGGACGAGAGCAGGAGAGGAGAUGUCCAGGACACAGUGAAACAGCGAGAGGAGCAGUGGAGCAGAGUCUUAAAAGCUGCUGAGGAGGCUCUCAGUAAGGCGGAGGCUGAAGCUGCCUCUGAGAGCAACUUUAAUAGUUUCAAAAGCCAAACUGAAAGCACCCAAACCUGGAUCAGAGAGCAGAAGCAGAAGCUGCUGUCCCUCAGUAUCCAAAUGCAGUCUGAAGAACGGUUACAGAUUAUACAGGCUGCGUUAAGUGCCCGAUCCGAGGGCGAGUCCAAGAUGCUCGACCUGAAGCAGCAAGGUGAGAGUCUGUGUGAGCAGCUGGACGAGAGCAGGAGGCCGGAGGUCCAGCUGCUGGUUCAGGACACCGAGCAGCAGUGGACGACAGUCCUGCAGGCCACCAGACAGGCAGAGCUCCGAAGUCUUUCAGAUGACUUCGACAUUCAGAGUAAAAGCACUCAGUCCUGGAUCAGAGAGAGACAGCAGAAGCUGCAGGCUGUGGGGAGUCACACACCACCUGAGGGGAGAAGCCAGACAGUCCAGACUAUUUUGAGCUCCAGACCUGAAGGUGACUGUCAGGUGAACAACCUGAGGAGGCGAGGCCAGAGUCUGUGUGACCAUAAAGACGUAGACGAGGGCAGGAGAGUGUAUGUCCAGCAGACUGUCAGAGACACGGAGGAGCAGUGGAGGACCGUCCUGCAGGCUGCUCAACAGAUCAAAGCUGCUGCAGAAGCUCAGAUCGCUCAAGACACUGAGAGGAGAAUGAUGGAGCUCAGAGAAUUUUACACCAGUCACCAGGAUGCUGUGCGUUGGUUUGUCGACCUCCAACAGCGACUGAGCUCCCUGGGCAGCCAAACCAACGCUGAGGACAGACUUCACCAAGCACAGGACAUUAUGAGCUCCAAGCCUGAAGGAGACUCCAGGCUCCAGGAACUGAAGAGACGAUGCCAGAGUCUGUGUGGUCAGGAAAUUGAAAAGCACAAAAAGCAAGAGCUUGAACAAACAUUAAGAGACACUGAAGACCGGUGGGCUAAAAUCCUGCAGGAUGCUAAGCAGUCCCUGGAGAAGGCUGAGAAACAGUGUGCUCUGGAGGACCAGCUGAGGAACUACGAGGCCCUCAGAGGAAACACCAGAGUCUGGCUGGAAGAGAAGCAGCAGAGUCUUGUUUCUCUGGAUGUUCAGCAAGACCCAGAAAAGAGAAUAAACAUUGCCCAGACAAUCCUGAGCUCCAAGCCGGAAGGAGACUCCAAACUGACAGAGCUGAGGAGACAGAGCCAGAGCCUGUCUGACCAGGAGGACGUGGAGGAGAACACCAGACAGGAGGCCCAGCAGACAGUGAAAGACUCGGAGGAGCAAUGGAGGACAGUCCUGCAGACUGCUGAGGAUACGCUGAAGAAAGCUGAGGUCCAAUACUCGCUCUCCAGAGAGUUGGAGGCCUUCAGGAGCCAAGCAGGGGGCACUAAAACCUGGGUGAAAGAACUGGGGGAACAGGCUGAGUCCAGGGGGAGAGGGACUCAGGGCAGCAAGGCUGAAAUACAGGACAGGCUGAACACUGCACAGAUGGUCUUGAGCUCCAGGUCCAACGGUGAAGUUCAAGUGAUGGAGCUGAAGAGUCGUGCACAGAGUCUUUGUGCACAAAAAGACCUGGGCCAGGAAAUGAAACAUGAGGUCCAACAGAUGGUGGAAGGUAUUGAGCAGCAGUGGAGGACGACCCUGCAGGCUGCUGAGGAGACUCGCAGCGAGUUGAAGGGCGUUGUGGACCGCCUGGAGUCCUGUCAGCACAAGCAUGAGAAGGCUGAGGCCCGUUUGUCUGAGCUCCAGAAUCAGGCGUCCAACCUGCCUCGUGUCUUCCCCUGGCCGGGCCUGGGAGAGCGGAGGCAGGCAGUGGAGGAGGCCCAGGCCCUGCUGGAGCAGACCACAGCCCUGGCCCCCGUCCUCUCAGACCUUCACAGACAGGCUGCAGAGCUGUUUGACAUCACACAGGACCGCCACUGGACAGGCCCGUCCUGGACCGCCAAGCAGGAGUCCAUUCCUGCUCUGCUGAAAGAGCUGACUGAUGCGGUGGCUAACCUGGAGCAGGGCAUCCUGACGGAGAGGCAGUGCACCCAGCUGCUGGAGCAGCACGAGGCCGCUCAGGACUGGCUGAGGGAGCAGGUGAAAGGCCUGGGAGUUCCUGCAGCAGACAGACCGGGUCUGCACAGUGCCGUCAACACUCUGAAGGCUUUGCUCCAGACAGUGGACAGAGAGCACAGAGAGAUGAAGGACCUGGACUCUGCCAGGGACAAUCUGCUGAGCCUUUGCACCCCUGGAGGACGGGAUGCUCUUACCCUGGAGGUCAGUCACCUCCACGACCUCUGUGCCACCUCGGAAAAGGAGGUGAGGGACCGUCUGACGGCCUGUGAGGCCCGGCUGGAGGAUCUGGAGCAUCAGUUGUCCAAAGAGACCCAGGACCUUAAGGAGAGAACGGCAGCCCUGCAGUGGGAGCUCCGCUCUCUGGACCAGGCACUCAGUUUCAGUGAACCGCAGAACAAUAUUUCUCAGCUGCAGCUGCACUGGAACAGUCUUCAGAACUGUGAUAAGUCACUGAGAGAUUUGGGUGUGAAACUUCAGGAUCUCCACCAGGAAGUUAAGACGAGAUCGUCCACCAGUGAGCUGCCGGGAGAAAUUAUCAGUGUGGUUGAGUGUUUAUCCCAGAAACAUGACAGUCUAAAAACCAGGUUGAAUGAACGUCAGGAUACCUGCUCUGCAAACACAGCUCACUAUCUGGCAGAUUGUCUUCAGGCCCUGCAGCAAUGGAACCACAGCAAGCCAUCCGAAUCAACUUCUGUGCAGGUGACAUUAGAGGAAGGUGAAAAGUUGCAGGUCAGCCUGCGGGAGGCUCUUUCUCACCAGCAGUUUCUAACAGACUGCCUGGCGCCGGGUUCAUUUGGAAAACUGGAGAAAGAGAGUUCACAGACACUCAGAGAAGCAGACACACAUAAACACUCUCUAAGGCAGAGCUUAAAGGAACUUGAUGAAAGGAGGAAACAAAAACCACUUGACAUUCAGUCCUCUGAUGUCCAGUCAGUUAAUCUAGAGGAGACAAAGACUACUGUUGUGGCGCCACCACGAAAAAGCAAGCAUGCAACUGAGGGAACACAAGUUAAACAACAAAAAACAAUGACCUCCACAGAAAUCUCUACAUCUGUUGAGGAUGAGGCCAUGCAAACUGAGACUGAAACAAUAAAGCUUAAUGUGUCAGCAGACUUGGAGGGCCAAGGCACUGCUGAAAUAACCAAAACCAAAUCUCAGAGUCCAGCACAUGCUUCAGAAUUUAUUACAGAUGUUGUUAAAAGUAUAAAGCUAGAUGUAACAAGUGAGCAAAUGAAACCUGCUUUAGAGGAACCAAUGCUGAUUCAAAAGGACAGUGGUAAGUCUGCACCUGUUGUUGGUGAGGAAACUAAACCUGUACCAACCAGAAGAAAGUCAAAAGCUUUAACUACUCAACCAACUUCAGAGCCAAUCACAGAAACAGAAGCUGUUCAACCUACACCUGACCCAAAAGAACAGGAGUUCAUGAGCUCAGAAGUUUCCAUAACAGAAUCAGUCAGUUCCCAAGUAGUAACGACUGAAUACCAUGAAAAGCCUGAGACUUCUUCAGCUGCACAGGUGAGCACAAAAUCAUCUGAGACUGUUAGUGUGGAAGAAGGUAAAGUUAUACCAACCAGAAAGAAGUCAAAGAGUCUCGCUGUACCAAAGCAAGCAAAGCAAGAACCUGAGGAGCAUUCUGCAACUUCCCUCUCACAAAGUUCAGAUGCUGAAACUGCAGAUGUGGAAAAAGGUCACUUUCUGCCACCGAGGAGAAAGUCCAAGAGUACAGAAAUUCCUCUUAAACUGUCAGACACUGUGGUACCUCAAAUAACAGAAGGUGAAAGAUAUUUGGAUCAAGUGGCCAGUGUCGAGAAGAAUAAUGUUGCUGUUGAAGAAACAAAGCUUGUACCAACCAGAAGAAAGUCAAAGAGCGGUGACACUGUGACAAUGUCAAAGACUAUAGUUACCCCUGUUAGGCCACCUGAUGCGAGGCCUGAACAACGUAAGGAAGAAGCUAGCUGUCAAAAGCCCUCAGCUGCAGAUGUGACCACAGUACCAACUGAAAGCACUGUUAACAAACCAGGAAAACUUUCACCGUCAAAAAGAAAGUCAAAGUCACAAGUUUCACCAGAACUUACCGAAGUCACUGUGUCAGAAAUCAUGAAAGAGCCAGCCAGAGAGAAUGCUGCAGUAGACUCUAAAGAUACAAUAUCAGAAGGUUUUGUUACCACAGCUCCAGAGAAAGUGUCUGCCGCGGCUGAAGCGGAGUCCAAGCAAGAUCAGAAAGAAGCUCAAGUUGGGAAACUUGCACAGGCUGUUGUGGGAGAAGAUAAAAGUCAAAUUACUGAAUCUGCUACUGUGGACGAAACUAACGUUAAAACAAAUAGAAGGACGUCAAAGGAAGGUCCUGACAGUCAGGGGUCGUCUUCAACACAACAGAUGGUCACAACACCAGCUGAAAUGGCUGUUGUGGAAACAGGAAAACUUUCUCCACCCAAAAGAAAGUCAAAGGAUUCUAAACUUUACUCAGAGAUUGUUAGCACAGAGCUGACAAAAGAGUCUGAUAGUCAGAAGGCACCUUCAGCCACAGAAGAUGUCACAGCUCCAACUGUUGUCACUAUUGAAGAAAAAGGAAAGCUUUCUCCAACCAAACGAAGGUCAAAGGAUCGUAAACUUUCCUCAGAACUUGCUCCCACAGAGCUGACAAAGACAAAGGAAGAGUCUGACAGUCAGAAGCCACUUUCAGCCACAGAAGUUGUUCCCACAGAGCUGACAAAGACCAAAGAACAGCCAUCUUCAUCUACAGAAGUGAUCACAGCUGUAACUGAUGUUACUGUUGAAGAACAAGGAAAGCUUUCUCCAACCAAACGAAGGUCAAAGGAUCUUAAGCCCUCCUCAGAAGUUGUUCCCACAGAGCUGAAAAAGGAAGAACCUGAACAGCCAGAUCACCAGAAGCCAACUCCUGCUGGAGAGGAUGUCACAGCUCCACCUGAAGAAGAAAAAGGAAAACUUUCUCCACCCAAAAGACAGUCAAAGGAUUCUAAACUUCACUCAGAGAUUGUUAGCACAGAGCUGACAAAAGAAGAGUCUGAUAGUCAGAAGACAUCUACAGCUCCAGAGAUGAUCACAGCUCCAACUGUUGUUACUGUUGAAGAGAAAGGAAAACCUUUUCCACCUGAAAGAAAGCCAAAGGAUCUUAAGCCCUCCUCAGAAGUUGUUCCCACAGAACUGAAAAAGGAAGAACCUGAACAGCCAGAUCACCAGAAGCCAACUCCUGCUAGAGAGGAUGUCACAGCUCCACCUGAAGAAGAAAAAGGAAAACUUUCUCCAACCAAACGAAGGUCAAAGGAUCGUAAACUUUCCUCAGAACUUGCUCCCACAGAGCUGACAAAGACAAAGGAAGAGUCUGACAGUCAGACGCCACUUUCAGCCACAGAAGUUAUUCCCACAGAACUGAAAAAGGAAGAACCUGAACAGCCAGAUCACCAGAAGCCAACUCCUGCUGGAGAGGAUGUCACAGCUCCACCUGAAGAAGAAAAAGGAAAACUUUCUCCACCCAAAAGAAAGUCAAAGGAUUCUAAACUUCACUCAGAGAUUGUUAGCACAGAGCUGACAAAAGAAGAGUCUGAUAGUCAGAAGACAUCUACAGCUCCAGAGAUGAUCACAGCUCCAACUGUUGUUACUGUUGAAGAAAAAGGAAAACUUUCUCCACCUGAAAGAAAGCCAAAGGAUCUUAAGCCUUCCUCAGAAGUUGUUCCCACAGAGCUGACAAAGACCAAAGAACAGCCAUCUUCAUCUACAGAAGUGAUCACAGCUGUAACUGAUGUUACUGUUGAAGAGAAAGGAAAACUUUCUCCAACCAAACGAAGGUCAAAGGAUCUUAAGCCCUCCUCAGAAGUUGUUCCCACAGAACUGAAAAAGGAAGAACCUGAACAGCCAGAUCACCAGAAGCCAACUCCUGCUGGAGAGGAUGUCACAGCUCCACCUGAAGAAGAAAAGGGAAAACUUUCUCCACCCAAAAGAAAGUCAAAGGAUUCUAAACUUUCCUCAGAGAUUGUUAGCACAGAGCUGACAAAGACAAAGGAAAGGUCAGACAGCCAGGAGACUUCUUCAGCCAGAGAAGUGAUCACAGUUGUAACUGAUGUUACUGUUGAAGAGCAAGGAAAGCUUUCUCCGUCCAAAAGAAAGUCAAAGGAUUCUAAACUUUACUCAGAAGUUGUUCCCACAGAGCUGACAAAGACAAAAGAACAGCCAGAUCACCAGAAGCCAACUCCUGCUAGAGAGGAUGUCACAGCUCCACCUGAAGAAGAACAAGGAAAACUUUCUCCAACCAAACGAAGGUCAAAGGAUCGUAAACUUUCCUCAGAACUUGCUCCCACAGAGCCGACAAAUACAAAAGAAGAGUCUGAUAGUCAGAAGCCAUCUGCAGCUCCAGAGAUGAUCACAGCUCCAACUGAGAUUACUGUUGAAGAGAAAGGAAAACUUUUUCUUGUCACAACCUUUGAGAAGGUCACAGAGCAGACUAAAACUGUGGUUCUGGAAGGAACAACAUUUAUACCAACCAGCAGAAAGUCAAACAGCACAGAGACAUUUGCCAUCUCAAAUACAACUGAUCAACCUGAAAUACGUAAGAAAGAAUCCCAGAGACCUGUGAUGUCUCCAGAGGCCAAACCUAUUCAGGAAAUUACCUCACAACAGACACAAUCACCGCAAACCAAGAUUCAGAAAAAGAAGACUGUCAAGAAUGUUGUUGAAUCAACUGUCCCCCAACGAGUGGAAACUGCAGAGGUGAAUCAAACUACUGUAGAGGACAUCAGCUGGGCACACGAAAAGAAAACCGCUGAGGGCGAUGGUGCUGAUGCUGUUCAGGAACUUUUAGGGAAGAAAGUGGCCGCAGUUCACACAUCUGAGACAGCUGAUGUUGAAAUGGAUUCUUCUACUUCAUCUCCUCGUGUUGAACAUCUGGAGUCUGUCCUGCCUAUUUCACUUACAAUGUCUAAACCUCCAAAAGAGCUAAAGGAGUCUACAGAAAGAGACAGGAGUACAGCAUCUCAAAUACAACCACCUCGCCCCUCUGAGCCUGCUGGCCCGCAGCAGAGAGCAGAUUACAUUGACAAGUUAUGGAAAAAGACACCAGAGAUUCAGACGAGAUAUCUGGUCCUUGAUAUGCCUGACGUCGGCGUUACCCAGACACAUGUGGCUGUGGAGGAAGAGGACGGCACUCAACUUCCCUCUGCUGUUUCCCCAGUGGCAGAAAUAACCAAAACAAGUGAAUCAUUGAGGCAGCCUAAGCCCGUGGAAUCCAAACAGAAAAUACCCAGAAAGGACAAGGACGUGGUCCAAACAGAGAUAGUUGAAGUCUCGACACACGAGACACAAGAUUCUUCUGAGAGCCCAGCUGAAACAUCAACCAAAAUCAACAUUUUACAAAUGAGUGCAAAGACAGAUACACACAAAUGUGAAAUAAUAACUGUCUCAAACGUGAAAGAGCCAGGGAGGGAUAUCCAGCCAAGUGAAAAAGUAACACAGAGCAAGACUGUGACUGCCACGAAUGUUCAGCCAGAGAAGGCUGCAGUUGAACAAAGCCGUGCUGAAAAUGUGGUUAGAAUUAAAUCUGCCCAACCUGCCUCUGCUGAUGGUGCAGCUGUGCAGCCACAUGAAGCAAAGACAUUUUCAGAAAUAAGUUCACCUGAGCUUGACACAGCUCAGGAGUGUUGGGAAGCCACACAGGAAGGAGAGCAAACUGAAGCGUCUACACGAGAUAUCGCAGAGAUCCUGGCCGAAAGGUCUGUGAAAGUCCAAAGGGAAUCCAGAGUGCGUGUUCUCCAACCAGACAUGCCAACCAGUCCAAAAGAGAAUGAAAACAUCACAGUAUCAAAAAUAGCUGUUGUUGAAACAUGUAUCCAGAGCCAGAGAUUGCCAGAGAACAAAGAUGUAGCUCCUGCUGAUGUUAAACCAGAGGAAGCUUCUGUAAAGAUCACAGUAACCCAAGGACCAGAAACUACGACUGAGGUUCCAGACAAUGUGGCUCCACAGGACUCAGAAGCUGUUCCCACAGAACUGACAAAGACCAAAGAACAGCCAGAUCAGCAGAAGCCAGCUUCUCCUCCAGAGGAUGUCACAACACCACCUGAAGAAGAAAAAGGAAAACUUUCUCCAACCAAACGAAGGUCAAAGAAACUUAAACUUUACUCAGAGAUUGUUAGCACAGAGCUGACAAAAGAGUCUGAUAGUCAGAAGACAUCUACAGCUCCAGAGAUGAUCACAGCUGUAACUGAUGUUACUGUUGAAGAGAAAGGAAAACUUUCUCCAACCAAGAGAAAGUCAAAGGAUCUUAAGCCCUCCACAGAAGUUGUUCCCACAGAGCUGACAAAGACCAAAGAACAGCCAUCUUCAUCUACAGAAGUGAUCACAGCUGUAACUGAUGUUACUGUUGAAGAGCAAGGAAAGCUUUCUCCAACCAAACGAAGGUCAAAGGAUCGUAAACUUUCCUCAGAACUUGCUCCCACAGAGCCGACAAAUACAAAAGAAGAGUCUGACAGUCAGACGCCACUUUCAGCCACAGAAGUUGUUCCCACAGAGCUGACAAAGACCAAAGAACAGCCAGAUCGCAAGAAGCCAGCUUCUCCUCCAGAGGAUGUCACAGCUCCACCUGAAGAAGAAAAAGGAAAACUUUCUCCGUCCAAAAGACAGUCAAAGGAUUCUAAACUUUACUCAGAGGUUGUUACCACAGAGCUGACAAAAGAGUCUGAUAGUCAGAAGACAUCUACAGCUCCAGAGAUGAUCACAGCUGUAACUGAUGUUACUGUUGAAGAGAAAGGAAAACUUUCUCCAACCAAGAGAAAGUCAAAGGAUCUUAAGUCCUCCACAGAAGUUGUUCCCACAGAGCUGACAAAGGAAGAACCUGACCAUCAGAAGCCACCUUCAGCCACAAAAGUUGUUAGAACAGAGCUGACAAAGACCAAAGAACAGCCAGAUCGCAAGAAGCCAGCUUCUCCUCCAGAGGAUGUCACAGCUCCACCUGAAGAAGAAAAAGGAAAAAUUUCUCCAACCAAAAGAAAGUCAAAGGAUCUUAAGCCCUCCACAGAAGUUGUUCCCACAGAGCUGACAAAGACCAAAGAACAGCCAUCUUCAUCUACAGAAGUGAUCACAGCUGUAACUGAUGUUACUGUUGAAGAAAAAGGAAAACUUUCUCCAACCAAACGAAGGUCAAAGGAUCUUAAGCCCUCCUCAGAAGUUGUUCCCACAGAGCUGAAAAAGGAAGAACCUGAACAGCCAGAUCACCAGAAGCCACCUUCAGCCACAGAAGUUGUUCCCACAGAGCUGACAAAGACCAAAGAACAGUCAGAUCGCAAGAAGCCAGCUUCUCCUCCAGAGGAUGUCACAGCUCCACCUGAAGAAGAACAAGGAAAAGUUUCUCCGUCCAAAAGACAGUCAAAGGAUUCUAAACUUUACUCAGAGGUUGUUACCACAGAGCUGACAAAAGAGUCUGAUAGUCAGAAGACAUCUACAGCUCCAGAGAUGAUCACAGCUGUAACUGAUGUUACUGUUGAAGAGAAAGGAAAACUUUCUCCAACCAAGAGAAAGUCAAAGGAUCUUAAGUCCUCCACAGAAGUUGUUCCCACAGAGCUGACAAAGGAAGAACCUGACCAUCAGAAGCCACCUUCAGCCACAAAAGUUGUUAGAACAGAGCUGACAAAGACCAAAGAACAGCCAGAUCGCAAGAAGCCAGCUUCUCCUCCAGAGGAUGUCACAGCUCCACCUGAAGAAGAAAAAGGAAAAAUUUCUCCAACCAAAAGAAAGUCAAAGGAUUCUAAACUUUACUCAGAGAUUGUUAGCACAGAGCUGACAAAAGAGUCUGAUAGUCAGAAGACAUCUACAGCUCCAGAGAUGAUCACAGCUCCAACUGUUGUUACUGUUGAAGAGAAAGGAAAACCUUUUCCACCUGAAAGAAAGUCAAAGGAUCUUAAGCCUUCCUCAGAGAUUGUUAGCACAGAGCUGACAAAGACCAAAGAAGAGUCUGAUAGUCAGAAGGCACCUUCAGCCACAGAAGUGAUCACAGCUCCAACUAAUGUUACUGUUGAAGAAACCCCUACUGAAUUUCCAGACAAUGUGGCUCCAAAGGACUUUGCUCAGCCCAUUUUUCCUGCUUCUGAAAUUGUAGAAAUGAACUUAUCUGAACAACAUAUGGUUAUACCAAGCCUAACUGAGACUCACAUAGAGCUCUUAAGAAGCACACAUGAACGAACCAAAUUGGUCCACAUGGAACAUGGUGCCCACGAACAGCUUCCUACACAGUUGGAACAACGCAACGACGAGGCGCCCAAAGCUGUGGCUGAAAAGUCUGUCAAAAUGGAGAAAAUAUGCGUCGGGCCUGAAAUACGUGUUCUGCAGCUGGACGUACAGACCACCCCAGACACAACCAUCACAGGAGCUACACAGCCAAGACCAGAUAGUUUUCAAACAAGUAUCCAAAGUGAAAAGGUGCCAGAAAACAAAGAUGAGGCUAGUUCUGCGGUUGAGGUGACUGUGAUUAAGGUACAAGAAAGCAGUACUGAAUGCCAAGAGGAUGUGAGUCAAAAGGAGUCUUCUCAGCCCCAAUUUGCUGUUUCUCAAUUACUGCAACCGCGUGGGAGUGAGACCGAACUUAUAGAAAUAAGUUUGUAUGAGCAAGGCACAGUAAAAGUAAAACACACUGAAACUAAGAUGGAGCUCUCAACAAUCACACAGGGAAAAGCUGCUGAGGUCACGAAACAAGGAGCGCAAGAAAAGCAAGACGUUUUAACGUAUGGUGAGCCCAAGAGCCGGGACGAGAAGUCUGAUGGGCUGGAGGGAAUCCUCGUGGAGCGAGAGGUGCGUUUCAUCCAACUCGAUAUACCGACCGGUCUUGCGGAGCAGGAAAGCACAUUUGUUAUGACGGCAAAAGAGCAAAGGAUGGGGACGGUUCCAACCCAGAGUGAAAGACAGCCGGAGAAGAACGAGACGACAGCUGACAUUCAUCCAGACAGGGCAGCAGAAAUUCAACAAAUCACUGGUGAGAGGCAGGAGAGUGUGGCUCCCUCUGACUCCAGUCAGCUCAGCUCUGGUGCUUCUGCCGCGAUGAAGCUAGAAGUGUUGAAAACUGCACAGGAGAGACCCAAAGAGAUCAAAGAUGGCGGAGCUCAGGAAGGUCGUGCUGACGUGUCUGCAAAAGAUGUGCAUGACACCCCCCGGAGUCUGGAGGACAAGUCUGUUGACAAGUCAGAUACACAGGCCGGAAUGAAGGAGCGUGAGGUCACAACUGUAAAGAUCACAAAGGAAUCAAUCACUGAUAUCGAUCAAACAAGUGCUGUGUAUGAAAACAAAAACCUGACAUCCACCACUGUUCAGCCACAAACAACAGCUGUUGUGAUGACCACGGCGGAAGUGAAGGUUGAUCCCCACCAGGCGGAGAAAGUCCACAAGGAGGCUGACGUCCGUGCUUUGCAGCAGAACAUACCAACGGGUCAAGUGGACGGAAAUGUUUCUGUUCUCACAGUAAAGGAACCAAAAGCUGCAGGAGUGCAAAAAUCACCAGAAACCAAAGAAGAGAUGGCUGGCGUCCAUCAUGAGACGGCUGCAGCUAAGACAGAAGUGAAAAUGCAACAAAUCAGCACUGAAAGUCAGCAGCCGGCUGCUCAGACCGUUUCUGCCGAUUCAACAGCAAAGACAGAAUUCGUAGAAAUAAUCUUUACUGAAGAAGAAGGCGUUAAACCAAGACAAACUGAUUCUCAGCUAGAUCUCACAAUCACUCGAGAACGACUAACAGAUCCUGACAUGGCUCAAGUGUUGACACAUGGAAUGGAUGAUAAGACGAAGGAUCCAACAUCCGUCACAUACAAAAUCCACACAAUUGUGGAUGAAUACAAAACCGUCACAACAGAAAAGGAAGCAAGUGUUCAAUUUGAGACAGUCAAAGAAAGAAAGGAUACAACUGACACAGACAAGUCUGUAGUUAAGAUGACCGGGAUAGUCCAAGUCCAACAGAGCAGUCCUGAAUCUCUGUGUGGACUCGGACUGGUCCAAACAGAAAAGAAAGAAGAAGAGGAGGAAAAGAGGCCAGCUGAGGAGCAUCAAAGGGAAACAGCAGUCAGAGUAGAGAUACCUGAUGUCGCCACCGCCGGUGGAGUGAGGCCUCUGGGCUUUGGUCUGCCACAGGUGGCUCAGAAAUUAUCAGCUGAAGUUAGCCAGGCAGAAGGACUACCAGCUCAGGAAAACAAAGAGGACAAAGGUGUUCUGGAGGGUCCUGUAGGCUUUGCCAUGAGAAACAUCUUCACAGAAAUACAGCUGCUUCCUGGGACAGAACCUAGCAGUCGACUUUGGGAGGGUAAAUCUGUGGAAGACGCUUCAGAGGCUCUGAAGACGUGUACGAGUGAUCAGGAUGUUUGUCUGAGCAGACUGGUCUCUAAGGUGCUGAGCUUGAAGAAUCGCCCGGCUGAGCUCAACCUGACUGCCAUGGCCCAGCAGGUGGAGGAGGCUCAGCAGUGCAGAGAGACCAUCCAGGCACAGAAGUUCUCCCUGUCCCAGCUGAGAGGAGCUGAUGGGGAGGACAGGGACACGUCGGAGCACAUGGAGGAUCAGUGGAGCACCGCCACUCAGGAUGUAGCUGCCCUAAUCCAGAACAAAGAGGCCCAGCUGCAGCUUGUGACAGAUUUCUGCACACAGGUCCAAAAAGCCACGACCACACUGGAGAGAGAGACAGCAGGACUGGAUUCUGUGAAAAUGUCACGAGAGCAGAGCAGCUCCGAGGAGGCAGAGAAACUGUGCUCCCUGCAGAGAAGAAUGGAGGAGAAAAGGACGGUUCUCGGGGAGCUGCUCGUCACCUACACCAAGUUGUGGCCUCACCUCAGCCAGUCUGAGCGAGCAACUGCACAGACUCAGCAGAAGAACCUGCAUGAGAAGUGGAGAGGCCUGGAGAGAGCUGUGGAGAGGAGCGUUCAUCUGGCAAAAAUCCAUUCUCAGCAGCUCACCAACCUUCAGGCAGAGAUUGUAGGUCUGCAGGAGCACUUGGGAAAAAUUGACAAAGACCUCAAAGUCACAUCUCCUUCAGUUACUGGGUGGAGUUGUAAGAAGGCGCAGCAGCUGAUGGAAGCAAAUGCUGAGCUUAAAGCUACCAGGCAGAAAUGUCUGUAUUUGCAGAAGCUUUUAGAGGAGCUGCUGCUCAGCGCACUGUGGCAGAAGGAAGCCAAAGAAAUCCAACAGGGACUCCAGACGGUCAAAGACAAACUCAGCUCCACAGGGGAGCUCGUGUCCACCCAGACUCAGGACAGCAGUAACCCCAUCAUGGAGAAGAUCAUCAUGGUGAUGAGGGACGGCCUUGCCUGGGCGAAGCAGACUGAGAGCGACAUCGAGGGCAGGAGGAAGAGGGUGGCUCUUCUUCCUGAGGAGGUUCACCGGCAGAUCAGAGAUCUGAAGAAGCUGCAGUCCGAGGUGAUGGUCAAACAGGGCCAACUGCAGUCGCUGGUGGAGGAGGUGACGGAGCUGCUUCCUCAGCUGGACCAGACUGAGGAGGUGCCCAUGCUUCACACUGCUCUGGACUCUCUCCAGAAACUCUCCAAGUCCACCUCUGAUCAGCUCGCAAAGGCUGUGAGAGAGAUAGAGUCAGGGCUGCAGACCCGAGAGAAGCUCUCAGAGCAGAUGGCAGAUUUGGAUUCCUGGGUCGUGGCUCAUCUGCACAGAGAAGCCUGCAGGAACGCAGACAGUGAGCUCAGAAGCCCCAAUGAACUCAACCGCAGAGCUCGACAGAUUCAGGAGACGCUGGCUGAGGCCGAUAAGCAGGCCGCCGUCUGUGAGGCUCUUUUAAUGAAGAGUAAAGACAUUUCCUCUGAACUCAGCGUCGCAGAGAACUGUCAGCUUUUUGAAAAGCUUACAAACCUCCAGGAGGACAUCAGGGCCAUUAUUAGCUGUGAGAAGGCCAACAAAAAGGGAAUGGAUGAGCUCAUCCAGACUGUCGAUUCAAACAAGAAAAAUCUCAUCACCGUUGAGAAAAGCCUGAUGCAGAUGAUGGUGGAUCUCAACAAACACAGAUUUCCCAUCACAAGGGAGUCCCUGCAAGUGCUGGAGCCUUUCAAACAUACAAUUCUGGCGCAGAAGUCCCAGGUUGACCUUCUGCAGCCAUGGAUUCCCCAGGAAAAGGCAAGGGAGCUGUAUUUGGUGACCUCUGAACUUUACAGCAAAAUGGUUAGCCUGGAAAUGAAAGCCAGAGGUCACGAGAGGUACCUGAACAUGAGGCAGCGUGUGGAGGACCUCAGGGAGGACAUUCAGGAGCAGAUACGCAGGACCAAAGAAGACAACGAAGAACCGGAGGAGAAGUACAAAGUCUGUCAGACCCUGCUGGUCCAGAUUCCUCUCAUAAAGUGUCUGUGUGACGAAGCUUGCUCCAAACUGGAGGUGAUCUCCGCCGACCUCUACCCCUCUCAGCUGACUGUAGAACGACAUCGGCUGAAACAGAACGAGGAGAGCCUCGACACCUUGGAGAUCAGGCUCUACAACAACCUCAGUAUCAUCGAGUGGGGCCUGCUGAAGGAACUGGACCUCGACUCGGAGAUGGAAGCCAGCCACGCUUUUCUUCUGCAGACCCAGCAGGAGCUUCAGAGACUCGCAGUGCUGGAGCCGAAAGAAACAGACGUCAACAAGGAGCACAGGAGGAUCGUGUCUUUGAAAAGGACCGUGGAGUCAAGAAUGAGAGCUUUGGAGGUUCUACAGCAAAACAAGGGCACGAAAAAAGGAGGCAGAGCCCAACGUCUGAUGCUCUUGAAGGACGCAGUUCUCCAUGAAUGUGACGCAAAAAUGGCAAGUUGCAUUGUUCUCUUUAAUUUUAAAGAUGUCUUUCAUGUCUUUGUGUUGACGUUAAUUUCCCAUGUUGGAUUAUAUUCUGUGUCAAGUAGAAGUAGUU